CCUGGAGAGUGAAGAGCCCCAAGGGUCCCGGGCCCGCGCGGCUCAUUCACUCUCCAGCGUCUGCGGAGGUAACGCGGCCCGCAACUGGGCGCGCGCGACUGCCCCAGUGCGCUGGCGCCAACCACGCGGCGGCGGCCCGGCGAGCCACCGGGAAGAAGUCAGACAAAGUCACUCUCAGGGCGCUGUGCAGCGCCACAGCCAGGGGAGGUGUAAGUUCGGGCUCAGUGAAGAAUCUCGGCUGACUUACGCUGCCAUCAGGGGAUAUGAAGGCGGUGGUUUCCUGGAAUAACACGGGCCUAUGAUAGGAAUUCGACGCAAGGAAGAUUUAUGUGAGCACCGAUUUGCAAGGCAUUGUGGGAAAAAGGUACACAGGUUGCACAUAAUAUGAUGGCAGUAGAGCUGGGACGAACGUAGCCACACUCAAUCCUGCGAAGCCAACACUGAAUGAACCAGGCAGAGUGAACACAUGCAAGUAUUAGAAAGGCAGUCCCCAAAUGAAGAGCAAUUGUAUUCCUUAAAUUCAGUCAUAAAUCAACUCUCAAUUCUAUGAGAUUUUUCACAGAAGAACGGAGCGCCUCAAAAGUGGAUCAAGGCAGAAAUGGAUGUGGAAAUUAUCAUCCUGUACCUUUGAGGUAAAGAGGCUUCUACAGCUCUGGCAUGAGCUACCACAGGUCAUAACCAUUAGGAAAGAAACUGGAAUGUUACCAUGCCAGGCUUUGUGAAUAAACUAAAGUUUUGCUGGUGGUGGCACAGGAAAAAAAUGAAGAAACCAAGAGGACUUGAACCAAGUGGGUAUGACUCCAAACCCAUGCUUUAAAUGAACAAACUGGCCUACCCU